rnacentral:rRNA from 1 species
AUUGAACGCUGGCGGCAGGCCUAACACAUGCAAGUCGAGCGGGGCGGCGGACGGGCGGGUAAGUCCUAGGUAUGUACCUGGUUGUGGGGGAGAACUUACGGAAAGGGGCGCUAAUUACGCACACUCUCAAAUGAGCGUAGGUCGGUUUAGCUAGUUGGUGGGGUAAAGGCCUACCAAGGCGACGAUCCGUAACUGGUCUGAGAGGAUGAUUAGUCACACUGGAACUGAGACACGGUCCAGACUCCUACGGGAGGCAGCAGUGGGGAAUAUUGGACAAUGGGCGAAAGCCUGAUCCAGCCAUGCCGCGUGUGUGAAGAAGGUCUUCGGAUUGUAAAGCACUUUAAGUUGGGAGGCGUUACCAACAGAAUAAGCACCGGCUAACUUCGUGCCAGCAGCCGCGGUAAUUC